rnacentral:rRNA from 1 species
UGGGGAAUAUUGGACAAUGGGGGCAACCCUGAUCCAGCAAUGCCGCGUGUGUGAAGAAGGUCUUCGGAUUGUAAAGCACUUUCGACGGGGACGAUGAUGACGGUACCCGUAGAAGAAGCCCCGGCUAACUUCGUGCCAGCAGCCGCGGUAAUACGAAGGGGGCUAGCGUUGCUCGGAAUGACUGGGCGUAAAGGGCGUGUAGGCGGUUUACACAGUCAGAUGUGAAAUCCCCGGGCUUAACCUGGGAGCUGCAUUUGAUACGUGUAGACUAGAGUGUGAGAGAGGGUUGUGGAAUUCCCAGUGUAGAGGUGAAAUUCGUAGAUAUUGGGAAGAACACCGGUGGCGAAGGCGGCAACCUGGCUCAUGACUGACGCUGAGGCGCGAAAGCGUGGGGAGCAAACAGGAUUAGAUACCCUGGUAGUCCACGCUGUAAACGAUGUGUGCUAGAUGUUGGGUAACUUUGUUAUUCAGUGUCGCAGUUAACGCGUUAAGCACACCGCCUGGGGGAGUACGGGCCGCAAGGU